rnacentral:rRNA from 1 species
GUUCUCAGUUCGGACUGCAGUCUGCAACUCGACUGCACGAAGCUGGAAUCGCUAGUAAUCGCGGAUCAGCACGCCGCGGUGGAUACGUUCCCGGGCCUUGUACACACCGCCCGUCACACCAUGGAAGUCUGCAAUGCCCGAAGCCGGUGGCCUAACCACUUAUGUGGAAGGAGCCGCCUAAGGCAGGGCAGACGACUGGGGUGAAGUCGUAACAAGGUACC